GCGGUCGUGGCGGAAUGGCAGACGCGCUGGCUUCAGGUGCCAGUGGUGGCAACACCGUGGAGGUUCAAGUCCUCUCGACCGCACCA
rnacentral:tRNA from 8 species